GGCACUGCGUGGUAUCUGCAGCCAGUUGGUUCAUCAGCUGGUUUGUUCAAAAGCCAGUGCAAGAGAGAGUCAACUUUUGGCAUCGUUGGUCUCCUUAGCACUUUGUGUUUGGAGUCCUGGUAAACAGGU